AAAAGAACCUGAAACCGUGUACGUACAAGCAGUGGGAGCCUCUUAAUGGGGUGACUGCGUACCUUUUGUAUAAUGGGUCAGCGACUUAUAUUCUGUAGCAAGGUUAACCGAAUAGGGGAGCCGAAGGGAAACCGAGUCUUAACUGGGCGUUAAGUUGCAGGGUAUAGACCCGAAACCCGGUGAUCUAGCCAUGGGCAGGUUGAAGGUUGGGUAACACUAACUGGAGGACCGAACCGACUAAUGUUGAAAAAUUAGCGGAUGACUUGUGGCUGGGGGUGAAAGGCCAAUCAAACCGGGAGAUAGCUGGUUCUCCCCGAAAGCUAUUUAGGUAGCGCCUCGUGAAUUCAUCUCCGGGGGUAGAGCACUGUUUCGGCAAGGGGGUCAUCCCGACUUACCAACCCGAUGCAAACUGCGAAUACCGGAGAAUGUUAUCACGGGAGACACACGGCGGGUGCUAACGUCCGUCGUGAAGAGGGAAACAACCCAGACCGCCAGCUAAGGUCCCAAAGUCAUGGUUAAGUGGGAAACGAUGUGGGAAGGCCCAGACAGCCAGGAUGUUGGCUUAGAAGCAGCCAUCAUUUAAAGAAAGCGUAAUAGCUCACUGGUCGAGUCGGCCUGCGCGGAAGAUGUAACGGGGCUAAACCAUG
rnacentral:rRNA from 1 species